rnacentral:rRNA from 1 species
GAUGAACGCUAGCGAUAGGCUUAACACAUGCAAGUCGAGGGGCAGCACGUGAGGCAGCAAUGCUGAUGGUGGCGACCGGCGGAUGGGUGAGUAACACGUAUGCAACCUACCUCCAACACGGGCAUAACCCGGAGAAAUCCGGACUAAUUCCCGAUGACACAGGGGCCCCGCAUGGGGAUAUUUGUCAAAGUACAAUCGGUUGGAGAUGGGCAUGCGUUCCAUUAGUUAGUUGGUAAGGUAACGGCUUACCAAGACGUCGAUGGAUAGGGGAACUGAGAGGUUUAUCCCCCACACUGGGACUGAGACACGGCCCAGACUCCUACGGGAGGCAGCAGUGAGGAAUAUUGGACAAUGGGGGCAACCCUGAUCCAGCCAUGCCGCGUGAGUGAAGAAGGCCUUCGGGUUGUAAAGCUCUUUCGGCCGGGAAGAAAUCGCACGGGCUAAUACCCUGUGUGGAUGACGGUACCGGAAUAAGAAGCACCGGCUAACUACGUGCCAGCCGCCGCGGUAAUAC